rnacentral:rRNA from 1 species
GUCUCAAGCGUUGUUCGGAUUCAUUGGGCGUAAAGGGUGCGUAGGCGGCGCGGUAAGUCGGGUGUGAAAUCUCGGGGCUUAACUCCGAAACUGCAUUCGAUACUGCCGUGCUUGAGGACUGGAGAGGAGACUGGAAUUUACGGUGUAGCGGUGAAAUGCGUAGAUAUCGUAAGGAAGACCAGUGGCGAAGGCGGGUCUCUGGACAGUUCCUGACGCUGAGGCACGAAGGCCAGGGGAGCAAACGGG